UACAGGGGGCUCGAGCGUUAGUCGGAAUCACUGGGCUUAAAGGGUGCGUAGGCGGCCCGCCAAGUGCUUUGUGAAAUCCCACAGCUCAACUGUGGAACAGCAGGGCAAACUGGCGGGCUUGAAGCAGGUAGGGGCUGGAAGAACAGUUGGUGGAGCGGUGAAAUGCGUAGAUAUCAACUGGAAUGCCGAUGGGGAAGGCGGGUCUCUGGGCCGAUACUGACGCUGAGGAGCGAAAGCGUGGGGAGCGAACAGG
rnacentral:rRNA from 1 species